AAGAUGCCCUUCCAUAGUUACUACAUAAACAAUAAAGCAUAGCUAUGCUAGAAGAAGCUACAUACUCCUACCCAACUACACUUAAACAGAAGCCUCAUAUGGCAUUUGAGUUCCCUUCAUCUAUUUGAUCUUGACUAAUAAACUUUAAUGUUUUCAAAGAAAAUAGACAAAUAUCUAAAUUCCAUUUUGAUAUCUCUGUAAAUAAAUAAAUUAGUCAACUGAAUCAUAUGAGUCACGACAUACUUAGCCGAUCUCUUUUUUCUCUAUUCUUUGCCUAAGGUUCAAGCUUUCUGUUCUGUCAUUUCUGUUGGCCUUCCUCUGCCCCUAUGGGCAAAGGAAGGCCUCUCUUCCCUCACUAGGCUGUGGGUUCCCUCCUCAACUCCGGAGUAGGCUGUAGAUUUGAUUUUUGUUUCUGGAAGCUUUUAGACAUUGGUACGAAUCUGCUGUUUCUGGGUCCCAGCAAUGGCUCCUGCGAAUGAAGCUGUUGACUUAGAGGUGUAGGGUCGUUCCUCCUUUCACUGGUUGGCAUGGGGGCAUGGCGCAAGCGAGACGCCGAUGGUCCUUGUCAUCGUCGCCCUCUAUCUUGCCAAUGACUUCGCUACCUCGUGUGCAACAGAUCAUCAAUCCCAAUGGUGUUGGAAUGUUGAACAGCGGCGAGGAUGAACUAUUGAUGUUUGUCUUUCUGGGUUAGGAUUAGGUGUUUGUCAGGUAUGGGUUUGAUUUUAUGGGCUUGGGUUACAGAUUAAUUUUAGAGUUUUGUUGUUUUGGGCCAUGGACCUUUUAUAAUCAAGCUUUUUUAUCUGGGCUAUAGCCCCUUUUAAUCUAA